CCUGGCUUCUCUGCUCGAGCUGCCCUCCCUCCUCUCUCUCGAUCUUAAAAUGUUGAAAAUUGCUUAACGUGUUUCUAAGAAGCAGACAACACAGUUUACAGUUCUCCUCCUGCCCCUUGCCAUAUGCGGGUCUACUGAUGUGGGUGAUACGGUGCAUGGUCAAGCUCCGGUGCUGGACUUCGGAGGAAAGAAGUAUCUUUGCAUUGGGGAAGUUUCCAUCAGAAGAUCCCUUUCAAGCCCGGUCGAGACUUCAGUCAUCCCUGUGUCGCUCGGAGCUCGAUCACAGCUCAGCGCGCUGGUUGGAGUACAUGCACGUUUUAGGUUAUCGCUUCAAAGAGAGAAAUGUAACGUGACCACAAGGGGGCAGCAAAACACACCAGAUUCCCUUCGGUUGUGUCUCCACGGGUAAGAGGAAGGCAACGAAAGAACGAAUUGAGGUACCUGGCAUUUGAGCCGUCCUCCAAACGCUGGCGUUUCUAGCACAAAUCACAGUGAGACGGCAGGGAAGGGAGGAGGAUGCUAUAACUUCCUAGGAUAAAAGAGAAAGUUGAAGUUCAAAAAGGCUGAUCAUGUGGCUAAUAUAAAUAAAAUGGAAGAGCUAGUAUUUGAACCCAUGGCUUUGUGACUUCAAGCCCAUGUACUUUGAACUACACUUGUGCAGUGCGGGGAACAUCGCAGAGGCAAAUGGGGUCUGAUCAAGAUCCCUCCUGGUGGACAUUCCACGGCUGGGACUACCUGAUGGCACUCGGCCACCACGACAUCAGUUUCACAAGGGCCAGACUUGCACUCUGAAGAGUGCUGUCUGUGUACUCCAAAGAAAGCUCUACGAUGUUUCUUUGGGUGUUACUUACCUGCAAAUGAAACAGCACAUUAUGCUUGGUUGGAACCAGAGCAGCCAGCAGAUGUUUUCAAUUCUGGGCCCUUUGUUUGCUGUGGCAGAUGCACCUUUGCUGAGCCUGGCUGUGGAGUGAGCAGCCCUUGCUGGGCUCGUCAGCCUUAACACUGCUUGCAGACUCUUUGAAACAGAAAUGGGAUAUGUAAGAGCAACCUUACAUAUGGGAUUAAGGAAAGAAUCCUGUUAAAGAUGACUGACGCUAAUGAAAGGAAUUGGAGGUAUCCUGAAGAAUUUUAAGAUAAGUUAUAAUCGUGUGUGUGUGUGUGUGUGUGUGUGUGUGUGUGUGUGUCUAUAUUUAGGUCUUUCUAUGUGUCUAUCUACAGGGGGUCCUUGGGUUAUAGAUGAGAUAUGUUCCUGAGAAUGCCUUUAUUUCGGAUUUUUAUGUAACUUGGAUCCCCAAUGAAUGGGAUAUGUACAGUAAAAUAAUAAUAACAAUAACAAUACUAU